UAAACGAUGUCAACUUGGUUGUUGGAAGGUUUCUUCUCAGUAACGUAGCUAACGCGUAAGUUGNCCGCUUGGGAGUACGNCCGCAAGGUUGAAACUCAAAGAAUUGACGGGGACCCGCACAAGCGGUGGAUGAUGUGGUUUAAUUCGAUGCAACGCGAAAACCCUUACCUACCCUUGACAUGCCAGGAAUCCUGCAGAGAUGUGGGAGUGCUCGAAAGAGAACCUGACACAGGUGCUGCAUGGCCGUCGUCAGCUCGUGUCGUGAGAUGUUGGGUUAAGUCCCGCAACGAGCGCAACCCUUGUCAUUAGUUGCUACGAAAGGGCACUCUAAUGAGACUGCCGGUGACAAACCGGAGGAAGGUGGGGAUGACGUCAGGUCAUCAUGGCCCUUAUGGGUAGGGCUACACACGUCAUACAAUGGCCGGUACAGAGGGCUGCCAACCCGCGAGGGGGAGCUAAUCCCAGAAAACCGGUCGUAGUCCGGAUCGUAGUCUGCAACUCGACUGCGUGAAGUCGGAAUCGCUAGUAAUCGCGGAUCAGCUUGCCGCGGUGAAUACGUUCCCGGGUCUUGUACACACCGCCCAUCACACCAUGGGAGCGGGUUCUGCCAGAAGUAGUUAGCCUAACCGCAAGGGGGGCGAUUACCACGGCAGGGUUCGUGACUGGGGUGAAGUCGUAACAAGGUAACC
rnacentral:rRNA from 1 species